rnacentral:lncRNA from 1 species
CGGAAGGCUGCCGUGAGAUAAUUAGAAUACAACAUUGAUACCAACUUAUACAUAAGACAUACGAGCCUAUAAGACCAAAAUAACCACUCAUAUACUGGACAUAGGCCAACAAGGCCUUACAAUCUUUUACGUAUAUGACAUCUGUCUACAAGACUAUAAGAAUACAUAAUUUUCAUAAAGGUCGAGAUAUAGUCCCGCCAUACCAAACAAUACACGUCUAAAUUAUACUAACCCAAUCAACAAGCAACUCCGAAGCAAAUAGAGUGCACCAACAUCUUCUGCUGAGCUGAUAGCCUACUUGGAGGGCUCUCGACCUAUCUAUCGGGACCUGCAGUCAUGAAACGCAGCGUCCCCAGGCAAAAGGGACGUCAGUACGAAUAAUGUACCGAGUAUGUAAGGCACAUAAAUAAGUACAUAACAUACAUGAAAAAAAUAUAAAAUAAAUGACUCAACCUGUAAGCCUGGAUAACUCUGUAAUUCAUGAAAUAAUUAUAGUGUCAUGCACAUGCAUAUGAAUUUCAUGUCGUGCAUAGGUACAUGUUUCAUAACAUCAUCAGGCCUCUGAGGGCAUCCCAUCAUAUCAUCUCGGCAACUAUAGGCAAAAUCAUCAACGUAUACCAGCUGAUCAGGUGGUGGUGCAUAUAUAACGCCGUAAACUUUUCUUAUAUCCCAUAUACAUAUAUAUACAUACAUAUAUACACGUAUAUAACGCCAUAUGGUCAUGGGUAAAUGUACAUGUAAAUGAAUGCAAUGCAUGAGAAGUACGUUAAUAAAAAUUUUCGGAACGUCAUAAGACCGUUAUACCUCUGAUUAAUAUCAUGAAAUAAACUUUAUCAACUUACGUAUUUUCUGAGACCCAUGAACAGAUGAUAGAAUAAUAUGACAUAUGGGAAAUCAAGAACAUAGGAACCUCUAGUAUUUCUAUGAAUAGAGUCACUUAUGGAAGUUGUGUAUUUACUCGUUUCGUUUGUAUCAUAUGGAUCAUGCCAAAAGAAAGAAGGGAUAGCUUUAACAUACCUGGAGUAGGAAAAAAUCCGCAUGAUAUUCUUGGGAAAGGUUGCACUGUACUCCUUUAGAAUCGCAAAAUCUCACAUUGCUACGGUGCUAAGAAAUCUCGUUGAAUCUUCACUUGCAUUCUUGAACGUAUAGUUUUGCUUCUGGUUUAUAUAUGGCAGUCUACAGUACACUUGAUCUAAUGUGUAUUAGCCAUGGAAGAAUACAUAAUUCCUUCAACCUUGAUAAAGAAAACAAGUGACAAAAAGUUUUCAAAUUGGCAAAGUAGGGAAAUAACGUGACAACAUGGUCACAUUAAUAUCGUUAGGGACUUGGUUUUUGGUUGCAAGCUCUUCUAAAUUUGAUUUGGCUGAAUUCUUAACGUUGGUGGAGUCCUUCAGAUGCAUAAAUUCAUGCAUACAAUCUUCCAUUAUUGGAAAAUGCAUUUAUUUACAAUAGUUGGUCCAACAAAUCCAUGUUUGAUUUAUUGUGUGCCACCUCCUCCUUUAGGCUUGAUUAGUUGGCAAUUUGUUGUCACACAUACAUAUCUCCACAUGUAUAUUUGUUCCCUCAUAAUUAUCCAAU